GGUAAGGUGAUAUGAACCGUUGUAACCGGCGAUUUCCGAAUGGGGAAACCCAGUGUGAUUCGUCACACUAUCAUUAACUGAAUCCAUAGGUUAAUGAGGCGAACCGGGGGAACUGAAACAUCUAAGUACCCCGAGGAAAAGAAAUCAACCGAGAUUCCCCCAGUAGCGGCGAGCGAACGGGGAGCAGCCCAGAGCCUGAAUCAGUGUGUGUGUUAGUGGAAGCGUCUGGAAAGGCGCGCGAUACAGGGUGACAGCCCCGUACACAAAAAUGCACAUAUUGUGAGCUCGAUGAGUAGGGCGGGACACGUGGUAUCCUGUCUGAAUAUGGGGGGCCCAUCCUCCAAGGCUAAAUAC
rnacentral:rRNA from 1 species